AGAGUUUGAUCCUGGCUCAGGAUGAACGCUAGCGACAGGCUUAACACAUGCAAGUCGAGGGGCAGCACAGGUAGCAAUACCGGGUGGCGACCGGCGCACGGGUGAGUAACGCGUAUGCAACUUACCUAUCAGAGGGGGAUAACCCGGCGAAAGUCGGACUAAUACCGCAUGAAGCAGGGGCCCCGCAUGGGGAUAUUUGCUAAAGAUUCAUCGCUGAUAGAUAGGCAUGCGUUCCAUUAGGCAGUUGGCGGGGUAACGGCCCACCAAACCGACGAUGGAUAGGGGUUCUGAGAGGAAGGUCCCCCACAUUGGUACUGAGACACGGACCAAACUCCUACGGGAGGCAGCAGUGAGGAAUAUUGGUCAAUGGCCGAGAGGCUGAACCAGCCAAGUCGCGUGAGGGAUGAAGGUUCUAUGGAUCGUAAACCUCUUUUAUAAGGGAAUAAAGUGCGGGACGUGUCCCGUUUUGUAUGUACCUUAUGAAUAAGGAUCGGCUAACUCCGUGCCAGCAGCCGCGGUAAUACGGAGGAUCCGAGCGUUAUCCGGAUUUAUUGGGUUUAAAGGGUGCGUAGGCGGCCUUUUAAGUCAGCGGUGAAAGUCUGUGGCUCAACCAUAGAAUUGCCGUUGAAACUGGGGGGCUUGAGUAUGUUUGAGGCAGGCGGAAUGCGUGGUGUAGCGGUGAAAUGCAUAGAUAUCACGCAGAACCCCGAUUGCGAAGGCAGCCUGCCAAGCCAUGACUGACGCUGAUGCACGAAAGCGUGGGGAUCAAACAGGAUUAGAUACCCUGGUAGUCCACGCAGUAAACGAUGAUCACUAGCUGUUUGCGAUACACUGUAAGCGGCACAGCGAAAGCGUUAAGUGAUCCACCUGGGGAGUACGCCGGCAACGGUGAAACUCAAAGGAAUUGACGGGGGCCCGCACAAGCGGAGGAACAUGUGGUUUAAUUCGAUGAUACGCGAGGAACCUUACCCGGGCUUAAAUUGCAGAUGAAUUACGGUGAAAGCCGUAAGCCGCAAGGCAUCUGUGAAGGUGCUGCAUGGUUGUCGUCAGCUCGUGCCGUGAGGUGUCGGCUUAAGUGCCAUAACGAGCGCAACCCUUGCCACUAGUUACUAACAGGUAAAGCUGAGGACUCUGGUGGGACUGCCAGCGUAAGCUGCGAGGAAGGCGGGGAUGACGUCAAAUCAGCACGGCCCUUACAUCCGGGGCGACACACGUGUUACAAUGGCGUGGACAAAGGGAGGCCACCUGGUGACAGGGAGCGAAUCCCCAAACCACGUCUCAGUUCGGAUCGGAGUCUGCAACCCGACUCCGUGAAGCUGGAUUCGCUAGUAAUCGCGCAUCAGCCAUGGCGCGGUGAAUACGUUCCCGGGCCUUGUACACACCGCCCGUCAAGCCAUG
rnacentral:rRNA from 1 species